rnacentral:rRNA from 1 species
AGAGUUUGAUCCUGGCUCAGGAUGAACGCUAGCUAUAGGCUUAACACAUGCAAGUCGAGGGGAAACGGCAUUAUGUGCUUGCACAUUUUGGACGUCGACCGGCGCACGGGUGAGUAUCGCGUAUCCAACCUGCCCUUUACUUGGGGAUACCCCGUUGAAAGACGGCCUAAUACCCGAUGUUGUUCAUUGAUGGCAUCUGAUUUGAACCAAAGAUUUAUCGGUAAAGGAUGGGGAUGCGUCUGAUUAGCUUGUUGGUGAGGUAACGGCUCACCAAGGCUACGAUCAGUAGGGGUUCUGAGAGGAAGGUCCCCCACAUUGGAACUGAGACACGGUCCAAACUCCUACGGGAGGCAGCAGUGAGGAAUAUUGGUCAAUGGACGGAAGUCUGAACCAGCCAAGUAGCGUGCAGGAUGACGGCCCUAUGGGUUGUAAACUGCUUUUGUAUGGGGAUAAAGUCAAUCACGUGUGAUUGUUUGCAGGUACCAUACGAAUAAGGACCGGCUAAUUCCGUGCCAGCAGCCGCGGUAAUACGGAAGGUCCAGGCGUUAUCCGGAUUUAUUGGGUUUAAAGGGAGCGUAGGCUGGAGAUUAAGUGUGUUGUGAAAUGUAGACGCUCAACGUCUGACUUGCAGCGCAUACUGGUUUCCUUGAGUACGCACAACGUUGGCGGAAUUCGUCGUGUAGCGGUGAAAUGCUUAGAUAUGACGAAGAACUCCGAUUGCGAAGGCAGCUGACGGGAGCGCAACUGACGCUUAAGCUCGAAGGUGCGGGUAUCAAACAGGAUUAGAUACCCUGGUAGUCCGCACAGUAAACGAUGGAUGCCCGCUGUUGGUACCUGGUAUCAGCGGCUAAGCGAAAGCAUUAAGCAUCCCACCUGGGGAGUACGCCGGCAACGGUGAAACUCAAAGGAAUUGACGGGGGCCCG